rnacentral:lncRNA from 1 species
GAGGGAGGGAGGAAAGCUGAUUUUUCAUGGUGAGAAAUAAUAAUAAUGAUGACUAAUAAUAAUAAAGAAAAAAACUGGAAAAUGUAAGCAAGGUUUAGCAUUGCUUCUCGGUACUCAGAAAGGUUGUCUGAAUUCGUGUGGUAAGCGCUGGCCUGAAGAUGUAUACAGUUUAAAGCCAUAUUUUGUCUGGUGAGUCCCUUAAUUGCAAAGGAACAAAUGGUCAGCCGGUGAGAUGUCCGGCUCAGACCCUGACAAAAGAUGCCACCAAUCUGUUAGCCAUGUGUUGUGGUUAGAACUUCUCUUGAAACUCCAAAGAGCCUUUAAAAUGUGUAUAAUUUGUGUUUUGUUGCUCCUAUUUAUAUUGAUUAGAUGAAAAGACAUUCUGGCCCUCUGACCCUCUUUCUUCUACACAAAAGUUUUAUGAGUUCCUUUAAGAUAUGUCCCCCUUAAAUACAGAAUAUGGCUUUAAGAAGAAAAUGAAAUAGAGAAUUAAAUUGAGAUUUCAGUGUUGGGGGAAGAAUGGAGCUUCUGGAUGACUGGAUUGCAUAACAAGCCCUGGCCUGACAUUGUCCUAGGAUGCAGCUUAGUGAAGUCAUCUCUAAAUCUACUAACCUUUCACCUUCUUAUCAAAACUUUUUGAAUAGACACACACUGUACAGUUCAAUUGUUAGAGAACCUAACUACUGUAGAGAUUGUUAUAAUUUUUUUUUUUUUUUGCAAAAAUUCAAGCUGUAAAAACUUUUCAACUUUCACAAUAUUUAAUUAAAGUUACUUCCUGU